UUCUAAUCCAAAAUUCAACCCUGCCUUGAAAGAGAGAAGAGAGGGUGGCCAUGUUCUGUAUACCAGAAUAUCCCCUUCACCAAAAAGCUGUACAGAGAAGGAGACGUUGAUAGGCUUUGUGGGAGCAUCACUACAUGGAUUGCAGUGGUUCGAGAAGGUGGUUAAUCCUCCAGGAUCAACAAUAAUCGAUGGCCUUCAGUGACGCCUACAUCCCCAAAAUGAAUAUGAAAAAGAGCAGAGGUUGAAUGAAUAGAUACUGUCAGAUGGGAAAACAGCCUGACAAAAUGAAUUGCUUUAAAAUAAGUAUGUGGUGUACUUUUAUUGCUAUAUACCCUUCCUGCCUCUCUUCUCUGUUUCAUAUUUAGCUGCAAAUUUAAAAAGAAACAUUCAUACAUCUUUGAAGAAUCAUAAGAUGUCUUUCCCUUGUUUUUUUUUAAGGCUCAAUUUAAAGCUUACUCAUGUCCCUUAUGUUGAAGGAUCAUUUAAAGAAGCAGACACACCGGUGUCAAAAUUUGUCCAAAUUAGCAAAACAAUUAUAUUGAUUGUGAAUUUUAUACUGGGUCCAAUUUUCAUUUUCAUUGAUGUCAAUCAAUGAAGACCCCCUUCCAAUCUUUGCAGUUCACUCAUACUGGAUACAGAGAGUAAUUACAUGUGAUAAAAUUGUAUUUUAAAUUCAGCUUUUGUAUAUCUCCACCUUCUCUUUUCAUAUAUUUUCUACAGUUUAAAAUUAUGCACUUCCCACUGAUUAUUUACAGACAGUGAAAUUUGCAAUGUUAUUAUGUUUUAAGUGAUAUUCUUCAAUCUAUUGUAGCAGUGUGAUUAAUUUCAUGAUAUGAACCAACUUUAUUGGAGAUUUAAUUAGACAGCCCUUGAAAACGAGCGCAGGACCAAAGUGCCUGAUUAACACCCACAUAUUCAUUGCAUUGUAGAUUGCACAUUAAAUUAAUGCUGUCCGCCUCUUUUCAUAAUUAGUGUGCAACUUGUGCAGUCGACUAAGUACAUCAGCAGUAUAUAAUUUAAAGGUAACUUGUACCUCGUAAAGGGGAAGUACGUUGUAUCUGAAUGAACCAAUAAAAGUGCACUGUGAACAUUA